AAACUGAAUAACAUCACAAACAAAUCAAUUUAGAAAACAUCAACAAAAAAGUAGACCCAAUACAACCAUAUAUACUCAACCUUCUGACAA